AGAAACAUUGGACUUUAUUCCUCCACCACCUAGGGCUAUAGUAUAGAGAGCAGCAUAGAGCAUGGCUAGUUGACUGCCGUUGGCCUCUAUGCACUGGUGGUGCUGCCUCAUGUAGUCACUGCAUGGAGGGGGUCUCAUGCUAGGAAUGGUUGUGGCUACCGUCAACAAAAUCACCCCCUGCAAGAUAGAAAAACAUCAGCCCAAAUAGUUGAAAUCCUGUGGUAGUAAAAUGCCUUCCAUUGACAUCAUACUGGGUGUUUCUAUGGAAUAGACUCAGAAAAAGUUUAUCUUGGUCUUUAAUCUGUGGAUCUAAGGUAUGGUGUCUAUGAAAAGAUGAAGGAUCAAGAUCAGGAUCAGGAUUUAGGAUGUUUCUUUCCCAAGAUUUGGCCAAAUCAAUGACAGUCCAAAUUCAGUUAACUGAAGGGAUAAGCCACCACAUCAUAGUAUCAUGACAGCAUAUUUCCAGAAGUUUCAAAGUCUUCCAUUUGAUCUAUUAGUUUUGGUUAAGGAUCUACAGAAAUGCCAAGGCCUAGAUUGCUAAUGAGUUUAAUUUUCAUAUUGUUAGUUCAAACCUUACCAAGGCAGUUAUGGAUCCAAAGAUUGCAACUGUCAAGUAACGGCCAAGUUUGGCAUCUGCUAAGAAACCGGCUAGGAGGCCACAAAGAUUAAGAGUGCCCAUGAAAUUAGUCACGAUUGUUGCUGAUUUUGCUGCUGAAAUAUGCAGAUUUUG
rnacentral:lncRNA from 1 species